rnacentral:rRNA from 2 species
CUCAUUUUGUAUAUAUAUAAGUUAUGAUAUGGGUUACUACUUGUAGUAUUGCCUAUACAUUCUUGUAUAUUUGAUUGCAUUAUGUUGUCGGCGUGCACUUCUCCCCUAGUAGGACAUCGCGACCCGUUGAGUGUCGGUCUACGGCCCAAGUGGUAGCCUUUAAUUUUUACGAAUUAAAGACCCUUGGUGUUUCCUGGCUGGCUACUCGGCGGUAUUCGUACGGUAUUAAGCCGCAUUUAUGCGUUCAUAUCCGUCGCAAGCGCGGUCAAUUUUUGGUAGUACGGACCUAGUGCCGUCGCCAUAAUUGAUCAGCUGUUGGUUGUACGGUAUUCUAGAACUGGCUUUUUUUAUACCGGUCAGCGAUGCUUUUAGCUUUGGGUACUUUUCAGGACC